UGCGGGGAUAGCUCAGUUGGGAGAGCGUCAGACUGAAGAUCUGAAGGUCGCGUGUUCGAUCCACGCUCACCGCAAAAAUCACUUUUUUAAAUAAUUGGGUUUCUAUUUGCUAUAAAUAAUUAUGAUUUCACGUUUGGCGCUUUAUCAUCCAAACUUGGUUUCCAGGCUCCAAUCUUAUGUUAUUAACUUAUUACUUUAGAC